rnacentral:lncRNA from 1 species
AAAUAUUUUACUUCUCCUGUGAGAAAAGAAUGACAACCCUCUGCAGGCAAGGUUACUACUAGAGGAUUAUUUCACCUAUUGGCUGGCUAUAAGUCCUUGACCUUUAGUCCCAUGUGACAAUAUACCUGAGCAUCCAGUGAUAAGCAUUCCAGAAACUACGGUCGUUAUAAGGAGAACAAACAGAGCCCUAAAAACCUGUUGG